rnacentral:rRNA from 1 species
CCUACGGGAGGCAGCAGUGGGGAAUAUUGCACAAUGGGGGAAACCCUGAUGCAGCGACGCCGCGUGAGUGAAGAAGUAAUACGUUAUGUAAAGCCCUAUCAGCAGGGAAGAAAAUGACGGUACCUGAGUAAGAAGCCCCGGCUAACUACGUGCCAGCAGCCGCGGUAAUACGUAGGGGGCAAGCGUUAUACGGAUUUACUGGGUGUAAAGGGAGCGUAGACGGCAGUGCAAGUCUGGAGUGAAAGGCGGGGGCUCAACCCCCGGACUGCUCUGGAAACUGGACGGCUGGAGUGCAGGAGAGGUAAGUGGAAUGCCUAGUGUAGCGGUGAAAUGCGUAGAUAUUAGGAGGAACACCAGUGGCGAAGGCGGCUUACUGGACUGUAACUGACGUUGAGGCUCGAAAGCGUGGGGAGCGAACAGGAUUAGAUACCCGUGUAGUC